AGCUGCUGCAUUCUGCGGCGGUGCUUCAGCGGAGCAUGGGAUCGGCUGCCUGCCAGGCAGCAGCAUCACACCCUCCUAAAAACACCUGCUCCAUUACAGCACAGAAUAAAAUGAUUCCAGGGUAGGGAGGAUUUGUUUCUGUUUAGAGCAUCUCUUAUUACCGUUGGCUUGAUCCCGGUAAAGGCUACCAAGUCUCCUCCCCAGGGGUGGAGAGGGGCUAAAGAUGAUUUUCAACGGGAGAGGGAGCUCAGCCUGCACCAACUGCUGGGAAAACCACUGCUGGCCUCAGGCAGAAAAGAUGCCAAGGGAAAAGCUUUGCUCUCUGUUUUGCUCCCUGUGCGUUUUCACCUGUGUCUGCAAGAAUUUCACAGCCCAGCUGCUGUGAUUUGGGUUUAUAGAGCGAUGCUCUAUAAAUCUAAGAGUAAACCAAGCUUCUAUGCAAAGAAGCUUCUCUUACCCUUUGAAGAAUGAUGAAAGCUGUGCAAGACAGCCACACAGCCAUGUGUGCUGUGCUGAAAAAGAGAAGAAACUAAAGUUUUGAUGAGAUAAAAAUAGUGUUGACCUCAAGAGUCGUUGUUUUCUGAAGAGGACUGCAGGAACUGGGGCAGUUUCCUUCUUCAGAUCUCCUGGCCCAGAUCUCACAGAGCUAUUUCAGAUCACACACCACGUCUGGUUCAGGAGUUUUACCUUCAGCUCACAACAGGAGGGAUUUAAAUCUGCUGGUGUCAAUUUGAAGAAGAAGGAGAUGGGAGAUUUUUCAUCAUUUCUCUUUUCUCUGCUGGGGUAUUCUCAAGCACUAGGAAAUCAAUGCAAUCAAAAUGAUUGCCUAACUCAUCACUGAAACAACUCCUAAUUGCAACAGCCUUUGGAGCCAGCUUAUGCCUGCCUGCUGAAAUAGUUUUAUUCACUGAUAUAGUAUUGCUGUGCUUGAAUAAGAAAGCCUGCAACACGUGCCCUGAAAGCCAUGGCCUGUGCUUCCAUCUUACCAACAGUUGGGGAAAGCCAGAAGGGUUGGGUUUGCUCUUAGCCUAGGAGAGCCAUAGUCACCUCUCAGCUUUGGUUACAAAAUGCCUGGCAGAGCAAAGGCGUUUCAGGGCUGAUUUAAUCUCUCCUGCAUUUCAUUUUCAUGAGGGCACCUCAGCAUUUCACAGUGACAUCAGGACUGAGAUGUGGACACCUGCUUGUGCAAAACUCCCCCAGCCAGCACUGGCCAAGGGCCUGGGGUCUAGAGCAGUCUCGGCCUCAACCGGGAAGAAGGAAAUGGGGUUAGUGUAUCAUGCACUAACCAGUGCUUGGCACACCCCUCGAGAGAGAGAUAUCACUUCCCAAAGGGGCAUGUUCAAGACCUGCAUUUAUACAGCCAGGUGAGAUGAUAAGGAAACCCCACCCUGGCCUGACACUGUGCCAAUUGCUUGCCUUGCUCUUUAAUGGUAGCUUUAACAGGAGCUUGAACAGCAGAGAUGAGAACUGAUGCAACACUCCCAGCAGGGCAGUGGUGUUUUAUCACGUAUCUAUUGAGCAGGAGUAAAUUCCAGUGCUGAGCCAACACAUGGAUUGGAGGUGAGGUCAGAGUCCCUGUGAAACCCAGCGUCCUCUGAGCACUGCUUUAAUCUCUCACCUACCUUUGCUAUUUACCUGCAUUUCUUCAUUAAAGGUUUUCCUUUA